ensembl:miRNA
GGUCGGUGCAAAAAUAACUGCGGUUUUUGCCAUUAAAAAUAAUGGCAUUAAAAGUAAUGGCAAAAACGGCAAUGACUUUUGUACCAACCUAAUAGCU